ACCGAGACUUAGAGUCACAUCUAGAUAUUGACCGUUAUCGUGGUGUGCUAUAGUCCUCGGAGAGUAAUGACUAACUUCUAUUCACUGACUGUCCUUUUCAGUAGUACAGUCAGCCACCAGGUUAGUAACAGAG